UAAUACAUGCAAGUCGAGCGAACGGACAGGAGUGCUUGCACUCCUUGAAGUUAGCGGCGGACGGGUGAGUAACACGUGGGUAACCUACCUAUAAGACUGGGAUAACUUCGGGAAACCGGAGCUAAUACCGGAUAAUAUAUACCUCCGCAUGGAGGAAUAGUCAAAGACGGUUCUGCUGUCACUUAUAGAUGGACCCGCGGUGUAUUAGCUAGUUGGUGAGGUAACGGCUCACCAAGGCAACGAUACAUAGCCGACCUGAGAGGGUGAUCGGCCACACUGGGACUGAGACACGGCCCAGACUCCUACGGGAGGCAGCAGUAGGGAAUCUUCCGCAAUGGACGAAAGUCUGACGGAGCAACGCCGCGUGAGUGAAGAAGGUUUUCGGAUCGUAAAACUCUGUUGUAAGG
rnacentral:rRNA from 1 species